rnacentral:lncRNA from 10 species
CUACCACAGGCCUUGCCUCCUUCCUGUACUGGGCGUCCUCCUGCCCUGUUCCUCCCUCUCCCUUCCUGCCACACCCGGCUGACCUCUGCUCACCAUUUUCUCCAUUCCAUGGACAUUUUCCCACCACACCAGUGGCUACUCCCACUUGCACUAGGAGCGCUGUGACACCCCAACUUGUGGGGCAGAGGUCAGGCCCAGAGUGCUGAAGUGCUGAAGCUCCUGUAGAAGGUCCUUCCAUGUGUCUUUCAGAUCCUGGGCUUGGCCUUCUCCAUAACCAUCACCCAGCACAUCCACUGGACUGGGUCUUGCUCUGUCAUCCAGACUGGAGUACAGUGGUGCAACCACGGCUCACUGCAGCCUUGAACUCCUGGGCUCAAGCAAUCCUCCUACCUCAGCCUCCAUAGCAGUCGGGACCACAGGUAUGUGCCACCAUGCCCGGCCAAUUUUGUUUAUUUUUUUGUAGAGGCGGGGUCUCCCUAUGUUGCCCAGGCUAGAACUCCUGGACUCAAGCAAUCCUCCCACCUCAGCUUCCCAAAGUGUUGGGAUUACAGACGUGAGCCAACACGCCUAACUUAGUUACAAUAUUUUAAACUUACGAUGUAUUUAUCAAGAUGUAGCCCCAUCAUAUGUUGAGGAGCAUCUGUAUAUUCUCAAUAUAUUUCUUUUCUCUGGCGAGACCCCAGUUCCUAAAAUGACCCAACCUUCUUAUUUACCAACGGGCAACUUGGGGAGAGGAUGUUGAAUUUGACCUCUGGCCCCUAACUCAGGGUUCUCUAAAGUAGAAUUUGGGCUUCGUGAACUACAGUGUGUUUUAAAAGUCCAGCGGAAGUUGCUCCUCAUCCCCAUCACGGGAACAUUAAUGUUCUUGCCUCUGGCUGGCUUUAUUAUGUCCUUACUGCAGUGACGUUGUUAUGUCCUUACUGCAGUGACGUUCCUUGCUGAUGGAAAGGGCUGGAUUCCCACUUCACUCUUUCCCUCUUGUCCUCUGGCCUGAUGCAGCAAUGGCAUCAUGCUGCCUGCCUGGCUGACAAGGCUCUUGUUGGCUGUUGGGGCUGUGUAGGCAGCAGUUGUAAGCCAGUAACAGCACUGCCUAUUUGCAGCAGGAAAGGGCCUGGAGGGCACCUGUCCCUUCUUGGUACAUUCGUGUUGGAUGAUUUGCACACACACACACGCACACACUCAUAGUGAUGGUGGAGGGGAGCAGGCAACUCACUCCAGUGGGACAGAUGACUGUGAGCAUGCCCUAGGCUGGCUCCAUUCCCUUGCCCAACAUCUAAACAGUCAGAAGGCCGCUGCUAUGACCUUUCAGUGGACAACUGGACCUUGACCAAAGAGGCCCUGCAGACACAGGAGAGCGACUGGAGCUCCCCUGCAAAGUGGGUCCCUGCCUGGGGACCUCCCCGGGUGGAUCAAUGUGCUUACACCGCAAGUGGCAGGGCCCUAUUGGGUUCACAGCAGCUGUGUGGGUCAGCUCUCAGCCACCCCCCUGACCACCCCCAGCCCUCUGUCUGGGGAUCCCCCUGAGCCCAGACUACCUGAGUACUCUUCAGGCUCCUCACUGCCUGAUAUGGUUUGGUUCUGUGUCCCCCAAAUCUCAUGUCAAAUUGUAAUUCUCAAUGUUGGGGGAGGGGCCUGGUGGGAGGUGAUUGGAUCAUGGGGGCGGACUUCCCCCUUGUUGUUCUCGUGAAGGUGAGUUCUCAUGAGAUCUGGUUAUUUAAAAGUGUGUGGCACCUAUCCCCUCACUCUCUCUCUCCUGCCGCCAUGUGAAGAAGUUGCCUGCUUCCCCUUCGCCUUUGCCUUCUGCCAUGAUUAUAAGUUUCCUGAGGCCUCCCAGCCAUGCUUCCUGUUAAGCCUGUGAAACUGUGAGUCAAUUAAACCUCUUCUCUUUAUAAAUUACCCACUCUCAGGUAGUUCUUUUUAGCAGUGUGAAUACAAAUGAAUACACCACCUCUCAAGCAAGUUUUCUAGACAGAACAGUGAAUGAAAUAAUAUGACCGUUUUAUAUUAUAGAAGACAAAAACAUGUACUUCCUUUUAGCUCUGGACUGGGCAACUACUGGUCCCCUCAGCAAAGAUUUAUCUUUCUGCAUUUGCAAUGAAAACAUGUCCAACUCCAGGUUUGGGGAUGAGGACAAAUCAGCUGGUCCACGGUGGAGAAACCCUGUCACAGUAGAGUGAGUUGGUCUGGGGGUGAGGCUUGCAGUAGGAGUGUGUGUCUCAACAGACAGAGCCCCCUUGCUCCUGACUUUUCGCCACACUCUGCAUCUGCUGCAGCCAAGCAGAGGGUGGCGCCUGCAGUGGUAAGAGCUCACUGCAGGUUCAUGAACAGAUGCUGGUUGUGUGUCAUGGUAAAUGGUAGGAAAACAUGGACUGACUGAAGGGAGGAAGCCUGAAGAGGAAUACAAUUUAAGUACAUGUGUUUGAGCCUGGCUGUCCUUUGCAGCCAGGAGCUAAUGACACUUGUGAGCAGGAGAAGUCAGUUCAAACACAUCAGUGAUGAGGGCUGACAAAAAAAGGGUAAGCAGGACCCUAUCCAAUGUGGCCAAUGGUUUACUCAUAGGGGAGCCGUGGCUAACACAGCAGCUUCACGAUGUAGCCGUGGGUCAUGGUACAUUUAAUGAACUGAUGGCCUGGGGGUUCCUUGCAGAGGAGAAAAAAAUUCAACAGAAGGUAGUCCUAGAUACAAUUCCUUUAUUAUCAUUAUCAUGCCCCCUAGCACAUGAAGCUGGGCUUCCA